rnacentral:rRNA from 1 species
UGGGGAUAGCCCCAGCGAAAAUUUUGGGAUUAAUACCGCCAUAGUAUACAGAUUCAGCAUUGGGACUGUAGUUAAACAUUUAUGGGUAAGAGAUGGGCAUGCGUUCUAUUAGUUAGUUGGAGUGGUAACGGCACCCCCAAGACAGCGAUAGAUAGGGGGCCCUGAGAGGGGGGAUCCCCCCACACUGGUACUGAGACACGGACCAGACUCCUACGGGAGGCAGCAGUGAGGAAUAUUGGACAAUGGGCGAGAGCCUGAUCCAGCCAUGCCGCGUGCAGGAAGACGGCCCUAUGGGUUGUAAACUGCUUUUGUACGGGAAGAAACCACCCCCUCGUGAGGGGGCUUGACGGUACCGUAAGAAUAAGGAUCGGCUAACUCCGUG